AUUUUCGUAAAUCGCGCGCUCUUUCAAUUGCAUAUGUUUCACCGUUUUUUUGCGCUCUUUUUUAGUCAAUGUCUUACUAAUUACUCUUUUGGUUUUACUAAUUUAUGUUUAAGUGUUAAUUAUUUAAUUGUGUCCCUUUCUUGUUUUAGUGAUUUAUCAUUAAGUAUCAUUAAUUCAACAUUUAUAGCUUAACUGGUGAAUUUUAGGAGUUUAUGUGGCUGACCAGAUUCAAAAAUGUUUUGCAGCUUUUAAUGGGUUUUUAUCAUUACAGAUGAUUUUUAAAUUUAAUUUUUCUGAUCGAUAGCAGGUUCGAAAAUUCUGGCCAAUUCUGGUUAAACCAUAAUUUCCAUUUUUAAGAAAAUAUCCUCUCAAAAUCGAUACUUAAAUGGGCUAAACAAUUGAUCCGUUUUUAGAUGAAAGUUGAUAAUAUAUAUUUUUGGAUUUCUAAUGGUUACAAGACAAUGCAAUUAUUAUCAAAUAUAAUGAUAAUUAUGAUUUACUCACCUAAGCCGACGAAGUGGAUCUCCUAAUAAAGUAUCUCGAAAUAAAUUUAACGUUCUUAAUUGGGUCUCAAAUUUGGUUCCACUCACAUUAAUAAUCACCCGUUCGCAAAGUGAAUGGUCGUGUUCUAAUUGUUCAAAUCGAUAAGAUGGAUUAAAAUUACCUAAAGCUGUUUCAGAUCCACUACGAGCUUUUACCCUUUCAUUGGGUUGGUCGUUGUUUCCACUAACUUUGGGUACAUUUCUGGAAUCAAAGAAGGAGGCAAAAAAAUCAUUAUUACAAUCAAUCGAGGAUAAAUCAUUUGACCAUUACAGAGGAUUUAAUGUGUAUAUGUGCAUUGCUUAAUACCGUUAAUCAAAUCAAAGUGCAUAUUCUGGUUUUGGAUUUGUGUUCACUAAACCCAAAUGUUUCUUGUCUUCACGAGCUCAAAGUGGAAUUUGUUUUUUCUUUCUGUUUCUUUCGGUGAAUGUUAAUUGUUAAUUGAUUUAAUUGAUUGUAGUGAUAAAUUGCCAUUUCUUAUUAUGUUUUACUCACAAAUGUUUCUGGGUUUGAUCAUGAGGAAAUGAUAAAAGGAAAUUGAUUUCAGUGAUGAA